UACGAAGGGGGCUAGCGUUGUUCGGAAUCACUGGGCGUAAAGGGCGCGUAGGCGGCUUGAUAAGUCGGGGUGAAAGCCUGUGGCUCAACCACAGAAUUGCCUUCGAUACUGUCGAGCUUGAGACCGGAAGAGGUAAGUGGAACUGCGAGUGUAGAGGUGAAAUUCGUAGAUAUUCGCAAGAACACCAGUGGCGAAGGCGGCUUACUGGUCCGGUUCUGACGCUGAGGCGCGAAAGCGUGGGGAGCAAACAGG
rnacentral:rRNA from 1 species